rnacentral:rRNA from 1 species
GACGAACGCUGGCGGCGUGCUUAACACAUGCAAGUUGAACGGAAAGGCCCUGCUUUUGUGGGGUGCUCGAGUGGCGAACGGGUGAGUAACACGUGAGUAACCUGCCCUUGACUUUGGGAUAACUUCAGGAAACUGGGGCUAAUACCGGAUAGGAGCUCCUGCUGCAUGGUGGGGGUUGGAAAGUUUCGGCGGUUGGGGAUGGACUCGCGGCUUAUCAGCUUGUUGGUGGGGUAGUGGCUUACCAAGGCUUUGACGGGUAGCCGGCCCGAGAGGGUGACCGGCCACAUUGGGACUGAGAUACGGCCCAGACUCCUACGGGAGGCAGCAGUGGGGAAUAUUGCACAAUGGGCGGAAGCCUGAUGCAGCAACGCCGCGUGCGGGAUGACGGCCUUCGGGUUGUAAACCGCUUUCGCCUGUGACGAAGCGUGAGUGACGGUAAUGGGUAAAGAAGCACCGGCUAACUACGUG